rnacentral:rRNA from 1 species
GGGUAGCCGUAGCGAAAGCGAGUCUGAAUAGGGCGUUUGUCGUUGCUUAUAGACCCGAACCCGGAUGAUCUAACCAUGGCCAGGUUGAAGCUUAGGUAAAAUCAAGUGGAGGACCGAACCGACUGAUGUUGAAAAAUCAGCGGAUGAGUUGUGGUUAGGGGUGAAAUGCCAAUCGAAUCCGGAGCUAGCUGGUUCUCCCCGAAAUGUGUUUAGGCGCAGCGGUUAAUGUUUAAAUUUAGGGGUAAAGCACUGUUUCGUUGCGGGCUGGUAAUACGGUACCAAUUCGAGGCAAACUAAGAAUACUAAAUUGCAUAAUUAAUCAGUAAGACCGUGGGGGAUAAGCUCCAUUGUCAAGAGGGAAACAGCCCAGAGCACCAGUUAAGGCCCCAAAAUAAUUACUAAGUGGCAAAGGAGGUGGGAGUGCAGAAACAAUCAGGAGGUUUGCUUAGAAGCAGCAAUCCUUUAAAGAGUGCGUAAUAGCUCACUGGUC